AGCGAACGCUGGCGGCAGGCCUAACACAUGCAAGUCGAACGAACUCUUCGGAGUUAGUGGCGGACGGGUGAGUAACACGUGGGAACGUGCCUUUUGGUUCGGAAUAACUCAGGGAAACUUAUGCUAAUACCGAAUGUGCCCUUCGGGGGAAAGAUUUAUCGCCAUUAGAGCGGCCCGCGUCUGAUUAGCUAGUUGGUGAGGUAACGGCUCACCAAGGCGACGAUCAGUAGCUGGUCUGAGAGGAUGACCAGCCACACUGGGACUGAGACACGGCCCAGACUCCUACGGGAGGCAGCAGUGGGGAAUCUUGCGCAAUGGGCGAAAGCCUGACGCAGCCAUGCCGCGUGAAUGAUGAAGGUCUUAGGAUUGUAAAAUUCUUUCACCGGGGACGAUAAUGACGGUACCCGGAGAAGAAGCCCCGGCUAACUUCGUG
rnacentral:rRNA from 1 species